rnacentral:rRNA from 1 species
UACAGAGGGGGCAAGCGUUGUUCGGAAUUACUGGGCGUAAAGGGCGCGUAGGCGGCCUUCUAAGUCGAACGUGAAAUCCCCGGGCUCAACCCGGGAACUGCGUCCGAUACUGGAAGGCUUGAAUCCGGGAGAGGGAUGCGGAAUUCCAGGUGUAGCGGUGAAAUGCGUAGAUAUCUGGAGGAACACCGGUGGCGAAGGCGGCAUCCUGGACCGGUAUUGACGCUGAGGAGCGAAAGCCAGGGGAGCAAACGGG